UACGUAGGGAGCGAGCGUUGUCCGGAUUCAUUGGGCGUAAAGAGCUCGUAGGCGGUCUGUCGCGUCGGCUGUGAAAACCCGGGGCUCAACCCCGGAACUGCAUCCGAUACUGCCAUGCUAGAGGAUUGGAGAGGUAGCUGGAAUUCUUGGUGUAGCAGUGAAAUGCGUAGAGAUCAAGAGGAACACUCGUGGCGAAAGCGAGCUACUGGACAAUUCCUGACGCUGAGGCUCGAAGGCUAGGGUAGCGAAAGGG
rnacentral:rRNA from 1 species